rnacentral:misc_RNA from 1 species
GAUGAAGAACGCAGCGAAAUGCGAUAAGUAAUGUGAAUUGCAGAAAUCAGUGAAUCAUCGAAUCUUUGAACGCACAUUGCGCCCCUUGGUAUUCCGAGGGGCAUGCCUGUUCGAGCGUCAUUAUAACCCCUCAAGCUCAGCUUGGUGUUGGGGCCUGCUGCACUGGCAGCCCUUAAAAUCAGUGGCGGCGCCAUCUGGCUCUAAGCGUAGUAAUUCUUCUCGCUAUGGAGUCCUGGUGGAUGCUUGCCAUCAACCCCCAAUUUUUCUAUGGUUGACCUCGGAUCAGGUAGGGAUACCCGCUGAACUUAAGCAUAUCAAUAAGCGGAGGA